rnacentral:rRNA from 1 species
CCUAGUACGGCGAGUGAGCGGCAAAAGCUCAAAUUUGAAAUCUGGUACCUUCGGUGCCCGAGUUGUAAUUUGGAGAGGGCAACUUUGGGGCCGUUCCUUGUCUAUGUUCCUUGGAACAGGACGUCAUAGAGGGUGAGAAUCCCGUGUGGCGAGGAGUGCGGUUCUUUGUAAAGUGCCUUCGAAGAGUCGAGUUGUUUGGGAAUGCAGCUCUAAGUGGGUGGUAAAUUCCAUCUAAAGCUAAAUAUUGGCGAGAGACCGAUAGCGAACAAGUACAGUGAUGGAAAGAUGAAAAGAACUUUGAAAAGAGAGUGAAAAAGUACGUGAAAUUGUUGAAAGGGAAGGGCAUUUGAUCAGACAUGGUGUUUUGUGCCCUCUGCUCCUUGUGGGUAGGGGAAUCUCGCAUUUCACUGGGCCAGCAUCAGUUUUGGUGGCAGGAUAAAUCCAUAGGAAUGUAGCUUGCCUCGGUAAGUAUUAUAGCCUGUGGGAAUACUGCCAGCUGGGACUGAGGACUGCGACGUAAGUCAAGGAUGCUGGCAUAAUGGUUAUAUGCCGCCCGUCUUGAACGUGG